rnacentral:rRNA from 1 species
AGUGAACGCUGGCGGUAGGCCUAACACAUGCAAGUCGAACGGCAGCACAGUAAGAGCUUGCUCUUACGGGUGGCGAGUGGCGGACGGGUGAGGAAUACAUCGGAAUCUACUUUUUCGUGGGGGAUAACGUAGGGAAACUUACGCUAAUACCGCAUACGACCUACGGGUGAAAGCGGGGGAUCUUCGGACCUUGCGCGAUUGAAUGAGCCGAUGUCGGAUUAGCUAGUUGGCGGGGUAAAGGCCCACCAAGGCGACGAUCCGUAGCUGGUCUGAGAGGAUGAUCAGCCACACUGGAACUGAGACACGGUCCAGACUCCUACGGGAGGCAGCAGUGGGGAAUAUUGGACAAUGGGCGCAAGCCUGAUCCAGCCAUACCGCGUGGGUGAAGAAGGCCUUCGGGUUGUAAAGCCCUUUUGUUGGGAAAGAAAAGCAGCAGGCUAAUACCCCGCUGUUCUGACGGUACCCAAAGAAUAAGCACCGGCUAACUUCGUG